GGCGAACGCUGGCGGCGUGCCUAACACAUGCAAGUCGAGCGAGUGGAGUUCUUCGGAACAAAGCUAGCGGCGGACGGGUGAGUAACACGUGGGCAACCUGCCUCAUAGAGGGGAAUAGCCUCCCGAAAGGGAGAUUAAUACCGCAUAAGAUUGUAGCUUCGCAUGAAGUAGCAAUUAAAGGAGCAAUCCGCUAUGAGAUGGGCCCGCGGCGCAUUAGCUAGUUGGUGAGGUAACGGCUCACCAAGGCGACGAUGCGUAGCCGACCUGAGAGGGUGAUCGGCCACAUUGGGACUGAGACACGGCCCAGACUCCUACGGGAGGCAGCAGUGGGGAAUAUUGCACAAUGGGGGAAACCCUGAUGCAGCAACGCCGCGUGGGUGAUGACGGCCUUCGGGUUGUAAAGCUCUGUCUUCAGGGACGAUAAUGACGGUACCUGAGGAGGAAGCCACGGCUAACUACGUGCCAGCCGCCGCAGUAACAC
rnacentral:rRNA from 1 species